UAUAACAUGUACACUCAGAAAAAUGAGAAAAAUAUCCCAUCUAUGUAUGAUAUAUCAAAAAGCAUAAAUGCAUUCUACUAUCAUGAAUAAAACAAAUUUACAAAUUAAAAACAAAAAAGUUACAGAGACUGUUCUUAGCAAAUGACAGGGAUUUUAACUCAUACACAAUCCUGUAUCUAUGGGUUUUAUGGUUUGGGCCAGUGACUCCCUGUGUUCCAAACACAAGCAACAAGUCCAACACAUUCAUGGGAAUAGACUCUCCUCUAGGCCAUCCCAUGAGGCCAGAGCCACAUGCACCAUCAUAAUCUUAGUGAGCUCACUUUUUGUUUUCUGUUCAUUCUACACUAUCUUGGAUAUUUGGAUACCUCUGUUUGCAAAUUUAGGCCAGUGGAUAGUGAACUGCUCUGUGAUUGUAUCCUCAUGUUUCCCAGAGUUCAGCCCCAGAUGUGUCUUAAAUGCUGCAAGUAUAAGUUUUGUCUUGAAAUGCCAAUAAUGUUUGUUUUAUACAGAUAUUUUCAGGUAUCGUCAGUGAUAUCCAUGUCUUUUGAUUCUGCUUUGCCUGCAGCCUGAGGAAGAACUCACUAUCUACCUACAGUAAAUAUGGCACAUUUUUUCAAAACAUCUUUAAGUUUUCUUGUGCAAGUAGAUGUCAGAAGGGUUACAGCUGAUGAGUUAAAACUGGUUUUCUUCAUCUUGUUACCACGUCUGUUGUAUUCAUGGAGUUCAACAUUAGCUAAAGUUUGGAAGCUGUUAAGUGCUACUAGUCUAUGAUGCUAAGAGAAGCAUGGGCAGUGAUGUGCCUGACCACAUGGGUCUUGGCAGAGAGUUAAAACAAAUACUGUAUGUAAUUGACACGAGGAACACUCAGUCCAACUGUGUCACCUUCACUAUCAAGCCCAGGAAAUCUUAAAGUAGGUUAAUGGGGGAAAGUUUGAGCUCAGUGAUGUAGGGAACUUCUCACACUGAAUUGUGAAGAAUCACGGAGAUCUCACAGAUAGUUUGGACACAGAAUCUGGUUCUGGUGCUUCUUGCAUAGGACAGAUCUCCUUGAGGGGCCUCAAGUAAGAACUCCUGUAUGGCCUCGUGGGACUGAGGGACGUCCAGGAGACAUGGAGAGAGCAGAAGUCUGUGAAGCUGGAAAUGGCAGUGCUCCAUAUGAAAAUCAUCUAUAAGACGUCUAGUCAGAAUGAUUAAUGUCUUUAAUUAAGAUGUCAGAUCAUGAUUAUGAUGCAUUAGAUUAAAACAUAUGACAUAGAUCUUCAAAGAAUACAAAUUACUAAUGGCCAACAUGAAGUAUCUAAGUUAUUUACAAAAUAUUUUGUUAGCUAAUUUCACCUAGUGUUUAAAAGUUUGGAUAUAAUUUAAAUACUGGAGAAUGAGUAAAGAUCUACUUCUCUCUAGAAAAUUGAGUAGAUUCAUUGUUCCUUUGAAUAUCCUCAUCCUUUACUAGAGAGAAUCACAAGGAUUAUGAAAGUACUUUUUAUUUACCUAUAUAAAUUCUGUAAUUAUAAGUUUUGUCUUGAAAAUGCCAAUAAUGUUUAUUUUAUACAGGUAUUAUAGACUUUAAAUUUUGCUGCAUUUCCAAACUCACAUUGAUUUUUAUCUCUUGAUUUUUUUCUAGUAAAAUGUCACAUAUCCUGUGCAAAUUUACUAUCAAAACUGUAUUUUAGCUAAGGGCAAGUGGGGCAUACCUGUAAUCCCAGCAGCUCAGGAGGCUGAGGUAGGAGGUUUGUGAGUUUAAAGCCAGCCUCAACAACAGCAAGGUGCUAAGCAACUCAGUGAGACCCUGUUUCUAAAUAAAAUAUGAAAAAGGACUGGGGAUGUGGCUCAGUGGUUGAGUGCCCCUGAGAUCAAUCCCCAGGAGCCAUUUCCCCCCCAAAAAACUAUUGUAUUUUAAGUAAAAAUUCUCUGAAAUAUUUUUCACAUUACCUUAAUGUAUACCAGAUUAAAUAUAAAUGAUGGAUUUAUUUGAUA
rnacentral:lncRNA from 1 species